UGAUGAUUGAGGUGGUCACUGCUCUUAGUUUCCUUGGCGACGCAGCUGAACCUAUUGUUGCUUCACCUAUCACACUGCCUUCUCCACAAGCUGUGAGGCCUGUCAGCGGAAACCAUUCUGAUGAGAUCAAUAAAACAGAACGCUAGCUAGCAAUAGCAGAAGCCAAGGAAUGGUGCACAAAAUCAAGAGACCAACCGGUUUCACAAGCUUCUGUUUACCGCUGAUAUCCAUUUUUAUUUUGCACGCAUGUACUAUUGAACUUUAGAUCUGAGAAUCACAAAACUCAAAGACAAGGUCUUAUACAUUUACGCGGAGAUUUUUUUAAAAGAGAUGAUCCAAAAAUAUAGCUGCAUUUCGUAGUGAAGCCUGAAUCUCAAAUGCAUAACGUUCUACAGAAUUAAGAGAAACAUUUGGCAUGUAAACCAGAUUAGAAUGUUGUGAUAUAUUUAUUAUUCUGAAUCCGAAAUUGUCAGCCCUAAAUUAGCAUAACUAUUAAAACUUCCCCCAUUCCGAAAUAUAAGAGAGAAUAUAGAUAUAAAAAAAAAGUGCUGCGCAGAUACAAAAUCAGUUAAAAUGGCCUUCUACUAUAUUUUCUAUUAGAACAGGGAAUUUAACCUGACACUUUCUAAAAUGGCAAAUACUCUCAUGCUGAAUCCAUUGAUCGCACCAUGUAGAGGAAUCUGGUUCUAAGAACAGAUCGAGGUCAUUCCUCAAAGGGAAACCAAAAUGUACAGCAAUUACACACGGCAACAGGUUUUGAAUCUAGUAACUAAUGACCUCCUGGGCAGAUGAUAUCUCUCGCUCCGCUAAGAGAAUUAGAAAAGGGAAAAUCAAGAUAAGAAAUAAACGUAGUAGAGGCUAACUUAACUACUUGUAGAAUUCCUCAUUCGUAAACACAAUAACUUACAAAACCUGAGCAUGAGCUUAAAAGAAGAGAAUUAUAGAGUAAUAUGAGCGGCAAAAUGAGAAUAGGAUAUAGACGCGAAAUAAGCAAACACAAAUAUUAAAACCUUCCUGACUCAAAAAUAGGAUAAAUAACAAAACCUGAUUACGAACCUAUAACAAGCGAAUGGCAAGGCA
rnacentral:lncRNA from 1 species